rnacentral:rRNA from 1 species
GGCGCACGGUGGAUGCCUUGGCACUAGAAGCCGAUGAAGGACGUUACUAACGACGAUAUGCUUUGGGGAGCUGUAAGUAAGCUUUGAUCCAGAGAUUUCCGAAUGGGGAAACCCAGCAUGAGUUAUGUCAUGUUAUCGAUAUGUGAAUACAUAGCAUAUCAGAAGGCACACCCGGAGAACUGAAACAUCUUAGUACCCGGAGGAAGAGAAAGAAAAUUCGAUUCCCUUAGUAGCGGCGAGCGAAACGGGAAGAGCCCAAACCAACAAGCUUGCUUGUUGGGGUUGUAGGACACUCUAUACGGAGUUACAAAGGACGACAUUAGACGAAUCAUCUGGAAAGAUGAAUCAAAGAAGGUAAUAAUCCUGUAGUCGAAAAUGUUGUCUCUCUUGAGUGGAUCCUGAGUACGACGGAGCACGUGAAAUUCCGUCGGAAUCUGGGAGGACCAUCUCCUAAGGCUAAAUACUCUCUAGUGACCGAUAGUGAACCAGUACCGUGAGGGAAAGGUGAAAAGCACCCCGGAAGGGGAGUGAAAUAGAACCUGAAACCGUGUGCUUAC